rnacentral:rRNA from 1 species
UACGUAUGGACCGAGCGUUGUCCGGAAUCAUUGGGCGUAAAGGGUACGUAGGCGGAUAAGCAAGUUAGAAGUGAAAUCCUAUAGCUCAACUAUAGUAAGCUUUUAAAACUGCUCAUCUUGAGGUAUGGAAGGGAAAGUGGAAUUCCUAGUGUAGCGGUGAAAUGCACAGAUAUUAGGAGGAAUACCAGUGGCGAAGGCGACUUUCUGGCAAUCAUCAGACGCUGAGGUACGAAAGCGUGGGUAGCAAACAGG